rnacentral:rRNA from 1 species
AUUGAACGCUGGCGGCAUGCCUUACACAUGCAAGUCGAACGGUAACAGGUUAAGCUGCCGCGUGGCGAACGGGUGAGUAAUGUAUCGGAACGUGCCCAGUCGUGGGGGAUAACUGCUCGAAAGGGCAGCUAAUACCGCAUACGACCUGAGGGUGAAAGCGGGGGAUCGCAAGACCUCGCGCGAUUGGAGCGGCCGAUAUCAGAUUAGGUAGUUGGUGAGGUAAAGGCUCACCAAGCCGACGAUCUGUAGCUGGUCUGAGAGGACGACCAGCCACACUGGGACUGAGACACGGCCCAGACUCCUACGGGAGGCAGCAGUGGGGAAUUUUGGACAAUGGGCGCAAGCCUGAUCCAGCCAUGCCGCGUGCGGGAAGAAGGCCUUCGGGUUGUAAACCGCUUUUGUCAGGGAAGAAAAGGUUCUGGCUAAUACCUGGGACUCAUGACGGUACCUGAAGAAUAAGCACCGGCUAACUACGUG